rnacentral:rRNA from 1 species
GAUCCUGGCUCAGGAUGAACGCUAGCGACAGGCUUAGCACAUGCAAGUCGAGGGGCAGCGGGAAGUCAGCUUGCUGACUUUGCCGGCGACCGGCGCACGGGUGAGUAACACGUAUCCAACCUUCCCGUUACUCUGGAAUAGCCUUUCGAAAGAAAGAUUAAUACCGGAUAGUAUCGAGAGAUUGCAUGAUUACCCGAUUAAAGAUUCAUCGGUAACGGAUGGGGAUGCGUUCCAUUAGGCAG